rnacentral:rRNA from 2 species
UGCAGUCGAGCGGACAGAAGGGAGCUUGCUCCCGGAUGUUAGCGGCGGACGGGUGAGUAACACGUGGGUAACCUGCCUGUAAGACUGGGAUAACUCCGGGAAACCGGAGCUAAUACCGGAUAGUUCCUUGAACCGCAUGGUUCAAGGAUGAAAGACGGUUUCGGCUGUCACUUACAGAUGGACCCGCGGCGCAUUAGCUAGUUGGUGGGGUAAUGGCUCACCAAGGCGACGAUGCGUAGCCGACCUGAGAGGGUGAUCGGCCACACUGGGACUGAGACACGGCCCAGACUCCUACGGGAGGCAGCAGUAGGGAAUCUUCCGCAAUGGACGAAAGUCUGACGGAGCAACGCCGCGUGAGUGAUGAAGGUUUUCGGAUCGUAAAGCUCUGUUGUUAGGGAAGAACAAGUGCGAGAGUAACUGCUCGCACCUUGACGGUACCUAACCAGAAAGCCACGGCUAACUACGUGCCAGCAGCCGCGGUAAUACGUAGGUGGCAAGCGUUGUCCGGAAUUAUUGGGCGUAAAGGGCUCGCAGGCGGUUUCUUAAGUCUGAUGUGAAAGCCCCCGGCUCAACCGGGGAGGGUCAUUGGAAACUGGGAAACUUGAGUGCAGAAGAGGAGAGUGGAAUUCCACGUGUAGCGGUGAAAUGCGUAGAGAUGUGGAGGAACACCAGUGGCGAAGGCGACUCUCUGGUCUGUAACUGACGCUGAGGAGCGAAAGCGUGGGGAGCGAACAGGAUUAGAUACCCUGGUAGUCCACGCCGUAAACGAUGAGUGCUAAGUGUUA